rnacentral:rRNA from 1 species
UACGUAGGGGGCAAGCGUUGUCCGGAAUCAUUGGGCGUAAAGCGCGUGUAGGCGGUUCAGUAAGUCUGCUGUGAAAGUCCAGGGCUCAACCCUGGGAUGCCGGUGGAUACUGCUGGACUAGAGUGCGGAAGAGGCGAGUGGAAUUCCCGGUGUAGCGGUGAAAUGCGCAGAUAUCGGGAGGAACACCAAUUGCGAAGGCAGCUCGCUGGGACGUUACUGACGCUGAGGUGCGAAAGCGUGGGGAGCAAACAGG